AAAGAAUAGAGUGGCCUGGUUAGCAAUGAAUUUCCUGACUGUAACAUUUCUCUUAAGUUGAUCCGGCAGAAGCACCAUUAAUACUGCUGAAAAUAGGAAGGUUGCAGCAGAAAGUUUGGAAGCCAACGUGGUAGCUGACGGAAAACCCAUCUUGAAGCUGAAAAAAGGGGGACGCUGUAUGAUUGGGAAUGUCAGAACCCAUCGUUUCUUGUAAACAUAGAAAAAGCCAUAAAUCAGACCCAUCAAGAGACCCGUAUGCCACGCACUUCUAAGACCAUCUGAUUUCCCCCAACAUAUGGAAACCGCCGCCAAGGAACCCGAAACCGCAGUUGCCACUACAAACAGAACCAAAUAGAAGGAAACCAUAGCCCGACGGCGAAA
rnacentral:misc_RNA from 1 species